AGAACGAACGCUGGCGGCAUGCCUAAUACAUGCAAGUCGAACGAACUCUUCGGAGUUAGUGGCGCACGGGUGCGUAACGCGUGGGAAUCUGCCCCUUGGUUCGGAAUAACAGUUGGAAACGACUGCUAAUACCGGAUGAUGACGAAAGUCCAAAGAUUUAUCGCCAAGGGAUGAGCCCGCGUAGGAUUAGCUAGUUGGUGAGGUAAGGCUCACCAAGGCAACGAUCCUUAGCUGGUCUGAGAGGAUGAUCAGCCACACUGGGACUGAGACACGGCCCAGACUCCUACGGGAGGCAGCAGUAGGGAAUAUAGGACAAUGGGACAAGCCUAGAUCCAGCAAUGCCGCGUGAGUGAGUGAAGGUCCGUUAAGGUUGUAAAGUCGUACGUUUUACCGAGUAGUGAAUAA
rnacentral:rRNA from 1 species